UACGAAGGGGGCUAGCGUUGCUCGGAAUUACUGGGCGUAAAGGGCGCGUAGGCGGCUUGUACAGUCAGAUGUGAAAUUCCUGGGCUCAACCUGGGGGCUGCAUUUGAUACGUAUGGGCUUGAGUGGGGAAGAGGGUCGUGGAAUUCCCAGUGUAGAGGUGAAAUUCGUAGAUAUUGGGAAGAACACCGGUGGCGAAGGCGGCGACCUGGUCCUUGACUGACGCUGAGGCGCGAAAGCGUGGGGAGCAAACAGG
rnacentral:rRNA from 1 species